GAGAACCAAGAGAUCCAUUGUUGAAAGUUUUGAAGUUGUUUUCUACUAAAAGAAAUCUUGUGUUGACUGAAUUAGUUUAAAAAAAUAUUUGUUUGUGUUUGCAUCCACUGGGAGAACUCCCUCCCGAAAGAGAGCGUUCCCCCAACGAACAAAAGAAUAGUAGUAAAGUAAACUCCACUGUGUGUAGUAAUUAGAAAGUGUCGAGUCGUGUGAUAAAACACCUCCUUUGGAAUAGAGAGAUCCACGCACACUCCCAGGUCUUUGUCGGCUCCCUCCCCCCACUGCAKAACACCCACCAACCGCGCACUUAAGCGCAGGCRGGAGAAAUAGCAUUCACAGCAGAGAAAAUAUUUUAGGAGCCUCCUGAKUGUCUAYWCUGGUCCUCCCCAGAGAUGUCUCUCUCCGAGCUCARACAAAUCAAUUAAAUUUCUUUAAUGAUCCUU
rnacentral:misc_RNA from 1 species